rnacentral:lncRNA from 1 species
ACAAUAAAGCAACGGAGACAGCGAGAGCGGAGAUAGAGAUCCGUUAUCAAAACAACUAUAAAACUUAUUAAUGACAUUUAUAACAUAAAAUAAAUACAAAAAAAUUGAACAGGCUUAUUCAAGAAGAAUCGAGAAGAUGACAAGGCUUUAUAUACUGGUACGCCAACGGUCACAUAUGGUCUUCGAUGAUUUCCUGGUCAGCGAUGCUUU